rnacentral:rRNA from 1 species
GACGAACGCUGGCGGCGUGCUUAACACAUGCAAGUCGAACGGAAAGGCCCUGCUUUUGUGGGGUGCUCGAGUGGCGAACGGGUGAGUAACACGUGAGUAUCCUGCCCUUGCCUUUGGGAUAACUUCCGGAAACUGGGGCUAAUACCGGAUAGGAGCUCCUGCUGCAUGGUGGGGGUUGGAAAGUUUCGGCGGUUGGGGAUGGACUCGCGGCUUAUCCGCUUGUUGGUGGGGUAGUGGCUUACCAAGGCAUUGAAGGGUAGCCGGCCUGAGAGGGUGACCGGCCACAUUGGGACUGAGCUACGGCCCAGACUCCUACGGGAGGCAGCAGUGGGGAAUAUUGCACAAUGGGCGGAAGCCUGAUGCAGCAACGCCGCGUGCGGGAUGACGGCCUUCGGUUUGUAAACCGCUUUCGCCUGUGACGAAGCGUGAGUGACGGUAAUGGGUAAAGAAGCACCGGCUAACUACGUG